rnacentral:lncRNA from 1 species
CUAGAAAUAAAUAAGAUGAGAGAAAAGCUGUUCGCCCCUGAAGAACAGAUAGGGCGAGAGGACGGAUGGACAUUUCAAGAAAAUAGAAAAAUUGAUACAAUGUGUUUUUGUAUCGUUUUUGUUUCAGUUUUGUUUUGUGUUAUCUUAGUGGGUUGUGUUAUCUUUGUUACGGAAAUAUGGCAUCAGAAGUUAGUAAGAAUCAAACUGAAAGGGUGUUAAGUAAAUUGCUAAAGGAAGAAGGCACC